UACGAAGGUGACUAGCGUUGUUCGGAAUCAUUGGGCGUAAAGCGCACGUAGGCGGGUUUGUAAGUCGAUUGUGAAAACCCUGGGCUCAACCCGGGAACUGCAGUCGAAACUACAAGUCUUGAAUGCUCGAGAGGAUGGUGGAAUUCCAGGAGUAGAAGUGAAAUUCGUAGAUAUCUGGAGGAACACCGGAGGCGAAAGCGGCCAUCUGGCGAGACAUUGACGCUAAGGUGCGAAAGCGUGGGGGAUCAAAACAGG
rnacentral:rRNA from 1 species